rnacentral:miRNA from 1 species
GCGCUGUGUGUGUGUGUGUGUGUGUGUGUGUGUGUGUGUGUGUCUGCUGGGGGCCUACCCCCAGCCACACCCUGAAGGCUUCAAGCAGG